UUUAAAGCAGUUUUACUCUCAUUUAUUUAGUCCUCACCAUACAGACAGCUGACAGUGAGGAAUUCACACUGAUGUGGGAGGUGUCACUGAGGAGAUGAAAUUUGAGUUGCUCCUUAAAGAAUGAGUAAGAUUUGCUAGGUGAAGAUUGGUGAAAUGGCUUUGCAGACAGAAUAGCGACAGCGAAACAACAGGCGAAGUGUGAGAUGUGUCAUGGGAACACUAGUUACUCAGAUGUGUGAGUAUGUGUGUGUGUGGGUAGGUUUGUGUCAUGGGGUCCAUAUGAGGGGGUGUGGAAGGAGCUAAGUCAGUGCAAACUUUUAGCUCUGCAAGUUACAAAAUGUAAGAGGCUAAAAAAUGACUUGAAAUCUGAAAAUCGCAAUUCCUAAAGUAAAGGUAGAUCGUUUCUGUCAUUUAAAAUGUGUGGCAGGAAGAAAAGCAGCAUUUAUUGAGCUCCUGCUAUAUGACUUUAUAUCUAUUGUUGCAUUUAACCCUUAGAUCAGCUCUUUAAGAGGCUGAUUACUCUCAAUUUACAUGUGAGGAAAUGCAAGCUACAGAAAUUACCCUAGAAAGAUGAAGCCCAGCAGCAGGAUUCAAUCCAGGUUCAUCCAACUCCCCAGAUGGUAUUCUUUCCAUCACACCAUGCGGUCUCUCUGAAAUACCUAAGUGAUUCUCCUAUUACAACAAACAGUGGGACACCUCCCCACACAGACCGCUCUCACCACCACCACCAAAUAGCUCAGCAUAUUUGGAGAUAAAAACAAAGGAAGAGAAAUGAAAUACGCAUGUGAAAACUUUAUAGAUUAUUCUGCCCUAUUCGGCAGCCAUUAUGGGAUUGUUACUUGAUAUGAAUGUAGAGAUUUGCUACUUUGAAAGCCUUAAAGUUUCGCUAUUGUGGCCCACAGCUCUCUGGAUAUGGCAGUAUUUCUUGAACUAGCAAAAAAAGCUUAUUUUCUUCAGUAUGUGAAUCCACAUAAAGGUAUUUAUCCUAAACAGCUACUUCCUCCUUUACCAUGGACUGAUUUGGGAUUCAGCUUUGUUGCGAUGCCACAGGUGUUUUAGAUUUUGAUGGCCGCUUCCAAGUGUGGGUCUGAUGAGCUCUCCGCAUGCGCUGCCUGCCUGGGUGAGCGCUGGCCAGGCUGAGUAGGCUCAUUCAUCCAGGAGAUGGCCCUGCAGCUGAAAAGAGGAAGGUGUUAGAAGAGGUCAUCGAGAGGACGUGAGUGCUGGUUGACUCGAGAACUGGACCAGGGCAUUUGGAGGCUCUUCACCUUCUCCCCUGUCCUUGGAAUAAAUUGUGACAAGUUAUGCAUUUCAAAUAUCUGUGAUAAGACUGAGGAUUGACUCCACUUAAUUUGGAUCCUGAGUGUUACAAGAGGUGGACAGUAGCGACGCUUUGAGUUGACACUCAUCUCCCUGGCACUAACUCUACUUAGACACAUGGAUGGCUUCUUACUGAAAAUGUCUGUCAGCUCUUUGCCUGAGUAAUUCCGCUGGCUGUAAGAAAGUGCUUGACUUGUGUGUGGAACAGACUGAAAAUGAUUGAAAGUUAACAUCCCAGGAGCGGUCUUCAACCAGUUAUGGAUGGGCGUUGGCAGAGAAACUCCAUAGUUUCUUCACCCCUCAGGUAGGACAACUCCGAGAAGUGUUCCACGUAGUCUCCCAGUGGACCCUAAAAGAGGGAGCCCCAAUUCCUCACACUCGUAAACGGUUUAUUAAUGUAGACUAUGUUGGCUUUGUUCCCUUCCCUGUCUUACUUCCUCACUCCCUAUCCCUGCUUCUUGGAAUCAUUUCCCUAGUAAAUUAAUUUCAUGCAAAUUUUUGUCUCAAGGAAUACAACCUAAGACAAGUGGUAAAACAGGUCAGAGUUCUGACCUUCUACCACUUAUAGUCUAGUAGAGGAGAAGGGCAUGAAUCAAAUAAUUUCGUAGUAAUUGUAAAUUUGCAAUGUGACACUACUGAAAAGAAGACACAUUGAGGCAAUCUGAUUGUGUGUGUGUGUAUUGGGGUUAGGAAACAUUUUUCCCAAGGAAGGGAUGUUUGAGCUGAAAAGUGAAAAAUGAAAAGAGGUGGAGAUAGAGUUCUGUAUGAAAGAAUAACAUAUGCAAAGGGCCUGUGGCAGGAAGAGCAUGGUAUGUAGAGAGACUAAAGAAAGGCAGUGUGGCUGAAGCAGAGGAUGAUGGGGAGCUCAGUGGAAAAUGAGACCAGGAAGGUAGGUAGAAGCCAGAUGGUGUAGGGCUUUCUAGUGUCUUAUUUAUGUGAAGAGCUAUGAGGAGCCAUUGGGAGGGUAUAAUCAGUGGGAUCAUAUCAUCAGAUUUACAUUUCACAAAGAUCAUUUUGUCUGAUGUAUACAAAAGACAUAGGGAGUCAGUGGAAGGAUAUUUGGGUUUAGUCGAUACAGGAAUCUAGGUGAAAGGCUUUUUCUACUAUCAUUACGAGGAAUUGAUUGGAUCCCAGGGUUCAAACCAUGGCUCUGUAAUUUACUCAGUGAAUGAUCUUGGGCCAGCUACUUAACCUUCCAUGCUGAAAUUUCCUCAUACGUAAAAUAACUGUAACUAGAUGUUAUAAUCAUGAUUAGGAUACUGCCUGACACGUCGUAAACACAAUCCAAGUGUUGGGUACAAUUAACAUCAUUAUUAUUAUCUUCCAACAUGUAAUAGGUAACUGGUGAAUUUUUAAGCUGGGUUACUCUCCAGGGGCUUUCGUCUUGUUUGGUAUAUACAGUUGCUGCUUUAACAGCUAGUAUAGAGGAGGGCAGGGUGGCAGCAGGUCUGCCAUGAAAUGCAUGCCUUAGUGCUUAGCAGCUGAAUAACCUGGAGCCAGUCGCUUCCCUCCUGUUUCCUCCUCUCUGUUACGGGGAGGGGUCUAGGAUUAGUACCUAACUUCACUGCUUCACUGGGUUAUUGUAGGAAGAAACGGACUGCUCUCCAUCAAACGCAGGUCGAUCCAUGGCACAGUAUGCUUGCUAUCACUUGUAACUAUUCUGAUAAGCACUGAUAAUUGUCUCUUCCAGUCAUCAUUCUCAUCAGUUUAUUCCUCCUCCAUCGUGAUCUUGUUAUAACAAUUAAAUAAGGAGCUAAGAUAACACUGUUUUACCUUUGGAAAAGUCCUUAGAGUAGAAAACCCUGCAAAAGUGUAGCUAUUUUUACUACUUUGCUGCAAAUUUUACAUUUUAUACUCCUUUAAUGUCUUUAGAUUGUGAGCAUCACAUUGCCACUGCUAUAUUAUUAUUGCAGUAAAGUCCUCAUGAAAAUGACUCUUCCUCUGUAUUUCCGUGAGUAAAAUCAUCACUCUGAAGUGAAUGGUGUUGUCAAUUCCUAAGAACCUCCCAGAUAUUCUAUGCUUUUCUCUUUGGCUUCAGUGAUUUCAUUGUAAUUGUUAGCAAAAUACCACAUAUUUUGCUCGUAAGCAUGAAAACUUGAGUUCUUAUACAAUUAUCUUUCAAGGCCAGAUCCUAAUGUUUCAUGAGGUAGAAGAGAAACAUAUUUUUACUUGCAGCCUGUGUAUAAAAAAAAGAAUUAUGAGUACUCCUAUAAAAUUUUUAUUGAAGCCCAUUAAAUUUUUUGCAAGCAUUGUCUAUUUAUUGAGAGUGGCCUUUUUUUCUUUAAACUCUGGCAUGAUAUUGAGAUAUUGAGAAACAAUCUCCUCUCUUGGAGAGAAUUAGGUCAGCUCUUACUGUUUUAUGCUUUUAGUGCAUUUCUCUGUGUAUGUGCUUAUACUUUCUACAUAGGCUUUUUAAGUUUCUUUGACUAAUGACUGAAUUAAAAUUUCUCACAUUUAGAUAUGUGAAAUAUGAAAUUGAAGAUUGCUUCCUGUUUGUCUUUGCUUUACUAAACCACUGGGCAUAAUAUACAGUAGUUAUAAGAUUAUAAAAUUUAAUCUGACUAAUAAUAUGCAUUAUUAAUAUAUUUUAACAUAUUUUUAUGUUACAAAAAUAUUCCUGAAGUAUUUUGAUUAAGAAAUUUUCUUAUUAUUUUUAACUUAACUUUCCAGCUUCAAAAGGAGAUUUCUAAAAUCAGUUGAUUCUGCUUUUGAUGUUUUGAUAGUUUCUGCAGUCUCUUUUGGUCGUAUUAUCUAUCUAUGACACUUUAAUGAAAAUACUUUGAAAAUAGCAGAGUUGAUUUCUUUUAUAGUAACAGAUGUGCAUAAUGCUUACUUUAAUGUUCUUGCCUCGUAUCUGACAUGUUGCUCCAAAUCUUCAAUGGCUUGAUUAUUGUAAAACAUAUAGUAACAACUCUUGGAAACACCUAAAAACUUCUUGGGCAUUACAUUUUAUCUUGAGGGGGCAGGGGCCAUGGCCAUCAGUCUUGCUGUGGGUCCUGUCACAGAUUCUACCCUGAGGCACUGACAAGAGCUGAAACAGUCCUUUCUACUGUGAAGUUUCUUUGGUCUGUCCAUUCAACAGACAUGGCUGAAUAUUAAAAGAAAAAUCUAUGGGACCUUUAAAUAACCUUUAAGCUUCAAUAUGUGUAAUUCAUUGGGUGUUCAUUUCAGUAUCAAUUUCUGUGAAAAGACAUUUCAAAGAUGAAACAUGUAAAAUUCCGUUUCAGCUCAACUUUAACAAAUGAACAUUUGCAUUCAGUUUUGAUGAUAGAGAACACUAACUUGAAUCCCAGUCAAGAAAAUAUUAUCCCUUCCCAAAUAAUUACUUUAUUUUCAUUAGUAUACCUGUAUUAUAAGAAAAUUAUGUUCAAUUAUUAUGUUUUGAAUUCCGUAAGUAAAAAUUUUGGGAAAAUUUGUCUUCUCUCUUGCUAUAAAAGUGCCUACAUAAUGUCCUUGAUUUCGC
rnacentral:lncRNA from 1 species